UGUUCUCAUGGCUUUUGUGUUAUUACAGUCAGACGAUUGAAGGAGCAGUAGCAUGCCGAGAGAUCAUCCAGCACUGCACUAAAGACAGCCAGUAAAGUGUCUGACUAAAGAAACAGAACUGAGACAUCAGCUGAUUCCACCAAUUUGUGAACCAAUGUAAA